rnacentral:lncRNA from 1 species
UCAGUGACCACUACAGUGCAGAUACUCUGCAUACACAUCUCUAGAGUGUGUUUUUCUUUAAUUUCCGGUCGUUUCUUUGGGGACAGGUCUUAGUUUGCUGUACAUUUAGUUUUUCUUACCAAUGUUCAACAUCUUCCUCAAGGCACUGUGGAUUGAAGCUGAGCUGUUUUGGGAAAGGGCAGUCAGAAACUGGCCCCUAUCCAGAUAUUCACCAACUCAUUCUUAUGCUCUUAAACUACAAGACCUCUAAGGGACAUCACAAUGUCUCCAAAAGUGAUGAAAGCAAAAGGAUGAUACUCUGAUGCUCAUCUGAACCCACAACCAUAUAGACCUCAGCCUCAAACUCAACUCAGAAUAAAAGCUGUCUCUUCAAGAUGGCAGGCAACAGGCCUUGCACGCUGGCACUCGUUCUGUACUGUAACUUAACGGCCACUUUAGAAGUGUUGCUGUUGUAAUGAUUUU